rnacentral:ribozyme from 1 species
UGCCCAGCAACUCCUAUCUCUACCUCCUCGUAGUACUGGCUGGGAUACCAGCAACAUUAGGGUAGA